GCUGUCUCACUCUCAGCAGAGAAUGUGAUUUGAUCAAGUCCACGGUUUCAAGUCUACCAUAAAUCAGACAGAAAAAUAGAAAGAGAGACUGAAAAAAGUGACAGAGAAAUCCAAGACUCACGCAGCCUGGGAUUCUGGGUCCUAUUCAUCUGGGAAAGAAGAGAGUUGUGAAGCUGUCAAGCACAUAGACAGUGAACACAGAGUGGAACAGGUCAAGGCCACAGCUAGGACAGAGGGAGAAAGAGUUUGAUUAGGUGACCACAGUUACAUAUUCCCCAUUGGAGACGAAAAAGGACAGCCAUUUCCUGUGAAAAUAGAAUGGGAUACAAAGAGCUCUUUCAGGGCCUGGGCGGCCCGCUGCAAAAGCUCUUCCAUGCCCCCAACACCAGCCUGCCUGACUCACAGAGACCCAGCCAGAGACUGACACAGGCCCCAGCCCCAGCCCAAACACACAACAUUUCCACAUCCUCCCAGCUUCUUACACUCACUGACACCAACUAUUAAUUCACUGAAGUAAAAAGAAGCUAUUGCUUAUUCAGAACAGAUGAGUAGCAAAGCUACUGAGUUUACAUGACGUAUAAUAUGAAACACA